AAUGUUAUAGUUUAAAAAAAAUUUUAAAUUGCAAGUUUAAAGAUAGAAGGGUCUUAACAUUU
rnacentral:tRNA from 1 species